UACGGAGGGUGCAAGCGUUAAUCGGAAUUACUGGGCGUAAAGCGCACGCAGGCGGGUUGUUAAGUCAGAUGUGAAAUCCCGGGGCUCAACCUGGGAAGGGCAUCGGAAACUGGCAAGCUUGAGUCUCGUAGAGGGGAGUAGAAUUCCAGGUGUAGCGGUGAAAUGCGUAGAGAUCUGGAGGAAUACCGGUGGCGAAGGCGGCCCCCUGGACGAUGACUGACGCUCAGGUGCGAAAGCGUGGGGAGCAAACAGG
rnacentral:rRNA from 1 species